rnacentral:rRNA from 1 species
UUUGACCUCAAAUCAGGUAGGAUUACCCGCUGAACUUAAGCAUAUCAAUAAGCGGAGGAAAAGAAACCAACAGGGAUUGCCUUAGUAACGGCGAGUGAAGCGGCAAAAGCUCAAAUUUGAAAUCUGGCACCUUCGGUGUCCGAGUUGUAAUUUGAAGAAGGUAACUUUGGAGUUGGCUCUUGUCUAUGUUCCUUGGAACAGGACGUCACAGAGGGUGAGAAUCCCGUGCGAUGAGAUGCCCAAUUCUAUGUAAAGUGCUUUCGAAGAGUCGAGUUGUUUGGGAAUGCAGCUCUAAGUGGGUGGUAAAUUCCAUCUAAAGCUAAAUAUUGGCGAGAGACCGAUAGCGAACAAGUACAGUGAUGGAAAGAUGAAAAGAACUUUGAAAAGAGAGUGAAAAAGUACGUGAAAUUGUUGAAAGGGAAGGGCUUGAGAUCAGACUUGGUAUUUUGCGAUCCUUUCCUUCUUGGUUGGGUUCCUCGCAGCUUACUGGGCCAGCAUCGGUUUGGAUGGUAGGAUAAUGACUAAGGAAUGUGGCUCUACUUCGGUGGAGUGUUAUAGCCUUGGUUGAUACUGCCUGUCUAGACCGAGGACUGCGUCUUU